rnacentral:rRNA from 1 species
GGCCUAACACAUGCAAGUCGAACGGUAACAGGAAGCAGCUUGCUGCUUCGCUGACGAGUGGCGGACGGGUGAGUAAUGUCUGGGAAGCUGCCUGAUGGAGGGGGAUAACUACUGGAAACGGUAGCUAAUACCGCAUAACGUCGCAAGACCAAAGAGGGGGACCUUCGGGCCUCUUGCCAUCAGAUGUGCCCAGAUGGGAUUAGCUAGUAGGUGGGGUAACGGCUCACCUAGGCGACGAUCCCUAGCUGGUCUGAGAGGAUGACCAGCCACACUGGAACUGAGACACGGUCCAGACUCCUACGGGAGGCAGCAGUGGGGAAUAUUGCACAAUGGGCGCAAGCCUGAUGCAGCCAUGCCGCGUGUAUGAAGAAGGCCUUCGGGUUGUAAAGUACUUUCAGCGGGGAGGAAGGGAGUAAAGUUAAUACCUUUGCUCAUUGACGUUACCCGCAGAAGAAGCACCGGCUAACUCCGUGCCAGCAGCCGCGGUAAUACGGAGGGUGCAAGCGUUAAUCGGAAUUACUGGGCGUAAAGCGCACGCAGGCGGUUUGUUAAGUCAGAUGUGAAAUCCCCGGGCUCAACCUGGGAACUGCAUCUGAUACUGGCAAGCUUGAGUCUCGUAGAGGGGGGUAGAAUUCCAGGUGUAGCGGUGAAAUGCGUAGAGAUCUGGAGGAAUACCGGUGGCGAAGGCGGCCCCCUGGACGAAGACUGACGCUCAGGUGCGAAAGCGUGGGGAGCAAACAGG